GUGAAUCAUCAAAUCUUUGAACGCAAAUUGCACUCCCUGGUAUUCCGGGGAGUAUGCCUGUUUGAGGGUCGUUAGAAUAAAAAAUCGUGGCGUCGCUCUUUUUUUUUUGGGUGAUCGCGUCGGAAUUUAGCCGUCUUUUAAAUGUUAAUUCAUGCCAAUGUGCCUUAAAAUCGAUAUAUCCGUUAC
rnacentral:misc_RNA from 1 species